GAUGAACGCUAGCGACAGGCUUAACACAUGCAAGUCGAGGGCAACGGGGUGAGCAAUCAUCUGCCGGCGACCGGCGCACGGGUGAGUAACACGUAUGCAACCUGCCCGUCACAGGGGGAUAAUCGAGAGAAAUCUCGUCUAAUACCGCAUACACUCUUCGGGAGGCAUCUUCGGGAGAGGAAAGAUUAAAUUGGUAGACGGAUGGGCAUGCGGGACAUUAGCUAGUUGGCGGGUAACGGCCCACCAAGGCGACGAUGUCUAGGGGUUCUGAGAGGAAGGUCCCCCCAGACUGGGUACUGAGACACGGGACCAGACUCCUACGGGAGCAGCAGUGAGG
rnacentral:rRNA from 1 species